rnacentral:lncRNA from 1 species
UAGGAGAUAAAUACUGUACUCUCUUCACAGUCUCUCUCCUCUACAUCUUGGUUGAUUCUGCUGUUUCUCCAACAGAUUCGUCAGUCUGUUUUGUCUGGGUCUUUCAUUAGCAUUUCAAAUAUUCCCUUGCUGUUGUAGCAGAGUUAGCCCAUUUUGCAUGGAAUCACUAAUUUUAAUCAAGAUGAAGACUUCAAGGCAGGCAGGGGAAGACCACAGAGGUCAACAGAAGACCUUCAGGCUGAUGAAUCAUCGUGUCUCCUCCAGUCUAUGCCAACAGAGCCAGAAGGUCUAUGGAGAGGGAGCAGAGCAUGGCAAUGGCACUGGCAGUGAGCCAAUGAUGGUGACUAUGUGCCUAAAGAAGAUUGGAUGGGCUUCAAGUCUACACAUUUACCACAUUCACACAUUUUUUUAUUUUUUUUUUUUGGUGGGGGUGUGGGGGAACGACCUGAAAUGUACUGUAUGGGAGAGGUUUCCUACAAAUACAUUGUGUUAAUUUUACCAAUGUUAUAUCUACUUGUUUGGACAAUGUAAUUAAUUUUAAAUUGUGGUGAUGGUUGGCAGAAGUAAAUUUUCAUGUUGUGGUAACCUCGGUUUUCCCAAAUAUUAAGUGGAAAGAGUGACAUCUCCCACUCACCUUCGUAAGUGUUACAGGGACUGGCAGCGUGUUGCAGGGACUGGCAGGGUGGUCACUGAGCAAGGACAAUCUGAGCACUGAUAAAUGGACCCAGCUCCAAGCUGCUUUCCAUCCCUACUGGCAAGUUAAGCCAAACUCCUUUGUGUACAAACAACUCCUGACUACUUGCUUGAUGGCACGAUGUAGGGUUAGGUCACAUCCUCAAAAUAUUUCAAGACUUCCAAGCAAAAUACAAACUGAAUAACAUUCUUCUUGCCCGCAUAUUAUAAAGGGCUCAAAUGUGAUAAAUGGAAGAAACUGACAAUUCUGUUGAUGCUCUAUUGUUUCCACUUGGCUACAAAACAACCAAGACAGAAACAUUGAUAUGCAGGUUGAAGGCCUAUAAGCUGAGUUAGAGUCUUCAUUUUUUUUUUAACAAAAAGAAAGUAUACAUAUUUCAUAUGUCCUGGUUUUAAAGCUUUUUGCAAUGUUUGUGAUAAAAUGUACUGCAGAUUUGCAUGUUCAAAAACAUCCUUGACAGCUAUGGAAAUUGUGUAGUUUGACAACUCCUCAUCUUAGCUAAGGCAAACAAACAAGGCCAAGUUGACUGAAAUUUAAAAUCUUUCCUAAUCCUGAGGAUGUGAUGGCAGCUUGUUUGCACUGGCAUCCAAAAGCUACAGUAUUGUCAAAAAAUUUAACAAAGCUGAGGUAGCUUUGACUGAGUUGACCUCAAAUACGAUGUGAACAGCUGUGUGGAAAAGGAUGGAAGAUUGUGGAGGGAUGCUGUCUAUGAGAUCCUUUGAUCUCUAGUCAGUAUUAUGUGUAGGCACAGUAUUUAGAUGCCUGAGACGAUCAUAAAUCAUCAGUUACGAAGGGAAGU